rnacentral:rRNA from 1 species
ACAGGUGGUGCAUGGUUGUCGUCAGCUCGUGUCGUGAGAUGUUGGGUUAAGUCCCGCAACGAGCGCAACCCCUAUUGUUAGUUGCCAUCAUUCAGUUGGGCACUCUAGCGAGACUGCCGGUAAUAAACCGGAGGAAGUGGGGAUGACGUCAAAUCAUCAUGCCCCUUAUGACCUGGGCUACACACGUGCUACAAUGGUUGGUACAACGAGUUGCGAGUCGGUGACGGCGAGCUAAUCUCUUAAAGCCAAUCUCAGUUCGGAUUGUAGGCUGCAACUCGCCUACAUGAAGUCGGAAUCGCUAGUAAUCGCGGAUCAGCACGCCGCGGUGAAUACGUUCCCGGGCCUU